ACGAACUCCUACGGGAGGCAGCAGUGAGGAAUAUUGGUCAAUGGGCGAGAGCCUGAACCAGCCAAGUAGCGUGCAGGAUGACGGCCCUAUGGGUUGUAAACUGCUUUUAUAGGGGGAAUAAAGUGAGCUACGUGUGGUUUUUGCAUGUACCCUAUGAAUAAGGACCGGCUAAUUCCGUGC
rnacentral:rRNA from 1 species